AAUUAUUCCUGUCACACAAGAAAUGUUUCUUAUCACGCUCACAUGAAACAAAAGAUUAUGAGAUAGACAUAGAUGGAACAUACAAAACAAGCACACCAGUAAAUGUAAGUAAUAAUUACACCUUUUUUGAAAUAUG